UGUGCUUGUAAGCGCUUAAUAAAUAAGUGCUAAGUUUGAUUGUGGGUUGGGUUGGGAAAUGUGUGUGUGUGUGUGUGUGUGUGUGUGUGUUUAUGUGUGUUCAUGUGAUGCUGGGGAUUCUGGGAAAAUAGGGGGCUUCCCCUCUGCAUGUGAUUUAUUAAAAUUGACUCUGACAGCUGUGACUUUUCUGGCGUGAAAGCCCCGAGGUCAAAGGCAUAGUGGCCAUCUGAAAUGGAUUCUUCUCUGCAGUAUUUUGAUGCCAGAGUUUUUCUCCUCUGGUUUCUUUGGGAGACGGUGACGAUUAUAAAUGCCGCUGCUGUUGCAGGCUCCAGUGGCUUCGCUCCAGCUCCAGCUCCCCUGUCCCCCUGACACCUGCCACUCAAACUGACAGCUCUUAGCUGCUGACUUGGCCUCAGGGAUUCAACGAGGCACUCACCCAAGGCAGAGGAUGCUGCUCAGCCCCAACCAACUGAGUCAGGAAACCUACGGAUUGUGGAAGCUGGCCCCGGGCCUUGCGGUUCACUCACGCUCUUCCUCUCCCUUUCUUCUUUCUGCCCCCCACUGCAAAAUACUCACAGGGCACCUGUGUGGGGUCUUUUCCGACUUUAAGCUUCAAAAUAGAUGAAGUUAUUCAGUAAGAAUAAGAAUGUUGUCUUUAGUGUAGAAGCAUCCAGUUCCAGCACCUGGUGGGAGAGAGACCCGAAGGCAGCCGGUUCGGGCAGAGGCGGAAUUGCUUGCUCACGGCCCUGCCCAGUGGUUAGAACGGAAACCUGGGACGACUCAGAAGGGUCCUGGAAAUCCAUGGACAAAGCCCUAGCCUCCUCAUCAAUGGUGCUUCGCCACCCAGCCACGAUGACACUCCUGUGCCCCAAGGCUCUGCUCCCUGCCAGAGGUCAGCAUGGAUAUCACCAUGGCAGUGGGGCAGGGUGUGUGUGUGUGUGAUGAUGGCGUGGGGGGAGAGACCCGGGACUGCCACAGCUGUAGCAUCACCCAGUUCUGGAGGAAUGAAGUGGACACCCCGGCAGCCGGCAGAGAAAGGGAAGGCAGAAGGGAGACGAAGGAAACCCCUGUCUAGCUGCACACAGCUAACCCUGAACCGCCAGCAACAGCCACGGGGAAAACUCAUGGGACUGUAAGCUUGUUAUGGACAGGGAAUGUGUCUGUUUAUUGGUAUACUGUCCUCUCCCUGGUGCUUAGUACAGUGCUCUGAACACAGUAUGCACUCAAUAAAUAAAUUGACUGACUGAAUGAAUGAAUUCCAGGAGAAGGAUGGAGAGAUUCCUCACAGGAGAACUGGCAUCCAGAGGUCACGAAGUGAAGCCAGGGACAGAAAAGAAGCAGGGGCAUUUGAACUCUAAGGGCAUUUUUACCAGUGUGCGCAUAUGCAUGUGUGUGUAUGCACAUGUACACACUCAUGUGGGAGACCAGGGCCAGGGUAUUCGUAUGUGAGGGGACUUUCAGCAUGCAUCCAGGAAUGAGCAGGGCCCCCAUCCCUCAAGUGCAACUCACAGUUCACCACCGGCAUGGUGAAACAGCCGCAAACUAGGGCAUGUCUGGUGGGGCUCUGCCAGCCGUUAAUAAAGGUUUCUAACCAAAGGAACACCUAGUGCAGCUCUCACCGUGGACAACCUUCCGCAGGAAUCCUGGAAAGAGCUGGCUCACAUGGGCGGCAAAGGCCACGGCGGCUACCGCGGCAACCUCCCGCUAAUUCCAGGGGCUGCAGCCCAGCAUUGGCACUGUGCUGCAGUCAGUUUGGCUGUAGAGGAACCCUGUGUGGGACGGGGACUGUGCCUGAUUCGAUUAUCUUCUAUCUAUCCUUGCGCUUAGUACAGUACUUGGCAAAUAGGAAGCACUUAAUUUCCACCAUUAUUAAAUAAAGCUCUUGCAUACACUUCUGAAAAUGCUGGCCUCCUGCCCUCUAAAUCCCUGUUUUCCCCAGCAAAAAUCUGACCGGUGAGAACGAGAGAGGAAAGUGACACAGCCCAAACCACUAGAAUUUGAGUGUAUGCUCUUAGCGGAGAGGGAACGUGGCUUGUGUUCCUUUUGUACUUUCCAAGUAUAUAGUAUGGUGCAAUGAACUCGAUGGGUGAUCAAUAAAUGCAUUUGCGGCUA